rnacentral:rRNA from 1 species
CUACGGGAUGCAGCAGUGGGGAAUAUUGGACAAUGGGCGAGAGCCUGAUCCAGCAAUUCCGCGUGGAUGAAGAAGGGUUUCGGCUCGUAAAGUCCUUUUAGUUGGGAAGAUAAUGACGGUACCAACAGAAAAAGCACCGGCUAAUUACGUGCCAGCAGCCGCGGUAAGACGUAAGGGUGCAAGCGUUAUCCGGAAUUACUAGGCGUAAAGGGCAUCUAGGCGGCAUAUCAAGUCAGAAGUGAAAAGUCUGGGCUCAACCGAGGCCUUGCUUUUGAAACUGAUACGCUAGAGUACGGGAGAGGAGGGCGGAACUACAAGUGUAGCGGUGAAAUGCGUAGAUAUUUGUAGGAAUGCCAAUGACGAAGGUAGCUCUCUGGACCGAUACUGACGCUAAAGUGCGAAAGCUAGGGGAGCGAACAGGAUUAGAUACCCUGGUAGUC